rnacentral:tRNA from 1 species
GUGGUUAUGGUGUAGCGGUAGCACAUGGGCUUGUGGAGCCCCUAGUCUGGGUUCAACUCCCAGUAGCCACC